UAAAAUAAUGUAGGUCUGCCUACAACACAUAGAUACAAAGGUAAAAUAAUGUAGGUCUGCCUACAACACAUAGAUACAAAGGUAAAAUAAUGUAGGUCUGCCUACAACACAUAGAUACAAAGGUAAAAUAAUGUAGGCCUGCCUACAACACAUAGAUACAAAGGUAAAAUAAUGUAGGCCUGCCUACAACACAUAGAUACAAAGGUAAAAUAAUGUAGGUCUGCCUACAACACAUAGAUACAAAGGUAAAAUAAUGUAGGUCUGCCUACAACACAUAGAUACAAAGGUAAAAUAAUGUAGGUCUGCCUACAACACAUAGAUACAAAGGUAAAAUAAUGUAGGUCUGCCUACAACACACAGAUACAAAGGUAAAAUAAUGUAGGUCUGCCUACAACACACAGAUACAAAGGUAAAAUAAUGUAGGUCUGCCUACAACACACAGAUACAAAGGUAAAAUAAUGUAGGUCUGCCUACAGCACAUAGAUACAAAGGUAAAAUAAUGUAGGUCUGCCUACAACACAUAGAUACAAAGGUAAAAUAAUGUAGGUCUGCCUACAACACAUAGAUACAAAGGUAAAAUAAUGUAGGUCUGCCUACAACACACAGAUACAAAGGUAAAAUAAUGUAGGUCUGCCUACAACACAUAGAUACAAAGGUAAAAUAAUGUAGGUCUGCCUACAACACAUAGAUACAAAGGUAAAAUAAUGUAGGUCUGCCUACAACACACAGAUACAAAGGUAAAAUAAUGUAGGUCUGCCUACAACACACAGAUACAAAGGUAAAAUAAUGUAGGUCUGCCUACAACACAUAGAUACAAAGGUAAAAUAAUGUAGGUCUGCCUACAACACAUAGAUACAAAGGUAAAAUAAUGUAGGUCUGCCUACAACACAUAGAUACAAAGGUAAAAUAAUGUAGGUCUGCCUACAACACACAGAUACAAAGGUAAAAUAAUGUAGGUCUGCCUACAACACAUAGAUACAAAGGUAAAAUAAUGUAGGUCUGCCUACAACACAUAGAUACAAAGGUAAAAUAAUGUAGGUCUGCCUACAACACAUAGAUACAAAGGUAAAAUAAUGUAGGUCUGCCUACAACACAUAGAUACAAAGGUAAAAUAAUGUAGGUCUGCCUACAACACAUAGAUACAAAGGUAAAAUAAUGUAGGUCUGCCUACAACACAUAGAUACAAAGGUAAAAUAAUGUAGGUCUGCCUACAACACAUAGAUACAAAGGUAAAAUAAUGUAGGUCUGCCUACAACACAUAGAUACAAAGGUAAAAUAAUGUAGGUCUGCCUACAACACAUAGAUACAAAGGUAAAAUAAUGUAGGUCUGCCUACAACACAUAGAUACAAAGGUAAAAUAAUGUAGGUCUGCCUACAACACACAGAUACAAAGGGAAUGUCACUGUUCUGCUCCUAUCAACCUUGAUAUUUUAAUGAAGCUUCGCUGAUUAAGAUGCCUUUCCAAGCGGUCUCACAAGACAAACACUUUAUUGACGGCCAUGACUAGCCUUCUUAAUUACACUGGGCAGGAGGAAAAAAAGAGAACAGCCUUCAUUGAGAGGAAGGGAAGAGAUGCUUGAUUUUUAAUAAAAUAAGUGUUAAACAACACAUCUGUUUACAAUAGACAAGCCAUAUCUUCUAGGUUGAAAAUAAAACCCAUUUCAUUGUCUCUUACUUGCAGGCCAUUGUCAUGCUUCUGGCGUUGGUAAUGACCCGUAGAAUCCAAAAGGCCUCCUCGGCUGAGGUGACCAUGGAUCUUAGCUAUAGAAACGCAACCAACAUGGAAAUGGCAACUACUCCUCAAGCUCCUCCCAUGCUGCCUGCCACACAAGCUCCUCCCAUGCUGCCUGCCACACAAGCUCCUCCCAUGCUGCCUGCCACACAAGCUCCUCUUCAUGCCAGCUCUUAUUACCAGCCACCUCCUCCGUACCAGUACGAUGGGAAACACUAGAGGGAUGUGACUGACCUGCGAACCCAUGUUGAAUUUCCUCAUUGGUUACAACUGGACCAGGGUUAGGUUUAAGGCUAGGGUUAAAGUUAGGGUUAGGUUUAAGGCUAGGGUUAAAGUUAGGGUUAGGUUUAAGGCUAGGGUUAAAGUUAGGGUUGGGUUUAAGGCUAGGGUUAAAGUUAGGGUUGGGUUUAAGGCUAGGGUUAAAGUUAGGGUUAG